rnacentral:rRNA from 1 species
UACGUAGGGUGCAAGCGUUAAUCGGAAUUACUGGGCGUAAAGCGUGCGCAGGCGGUUGUGCAAGACCGAUGUGAAAAUCCCCCGGGCUUAACCUGGGGAAUGGCAUUGGUGACUGCACAGCUAGAGUGUGUCAGAGGGGGGUAGAAUUCCACGUGUGAGCAGUGAAAUGCGUAGAGAUGUGGAGGAAUACCGAUGGCGAAGGCAGCCCCCUGGGAUAAACACU